rnacentral:rRNA from 1 species
UACGUAGGGACCGAGCGUUAAUCGGAAUUACUGGGCGUAAAGCGUGCGCAGGCGGUUUUGUCAGCCAGAUGUGAAAGCCCCGGGCUCAACCUGGGAAUGGCAUUUGGGACUGCAAGGCUUGAGUGCGGCAGAGGAGACUGGAAUUCCUGGUGUAGCAGUGAAAUGCGUAGAUAUCUGGAGGAACACCGGUGGCGAAGGCGGCAUCCUGGACCGGUAUUGACGCUGAGGCGCGAAAGCCAGGGGAGCAAACGGG